UAGUCCACGCCGUAAACGAUGAUUACUCGAUGUAUGUCCGAUUGAGGAUAUGCGUCUUAGGGAAACCGAUAAGUAAUCCACCUGGGGAGUACGCUCGCAAGAGUGAAACUCAAAGGAAUUGACGAGGGCCCGCACAAGCGGUGGAGCAUGUGGUUUAAUUCGAUGAUACGCGAGGAACCUUACCAGGGCUUAAAUGUAGAAUGACCGUCGUGGAAACACAUCUUUCUUCGGACAUUCUACAAGGUGCUGCAUGGUUGUCGUCAGCUCGUGCCGUGAGGUGUCGGGUUAAGUCCCAUAACGAGCGCAACCCCUAUCUUUAGUUGCCAGCGGUUCGGCCGGGGACUCUAAAGAAACUGCCCGUGUAAACGGAGAGGAAGGUGGGGAUGACGUCAAAUCAUCACGGCCCUUACGUCCUGGGCUACACACGUGCUACAAUGGCAGGGACAGUUAGUUGCAAUCCCGCGAGGGGGAGCUAAUCUACAAACCCUGUCUCAGUUCGGAUCGGAGUCUGCAA
rnacentral:rRNA from 1 species